GACGAACGCUGGCGGCGUGCUUAACACAUGCAAGUCGAACGGAAAGGCCCUGCUUUUGUGGGGUGCUCGAGUGGCGAACGGGUGAGUAACACGUGAGUAACCUGCCCUUGACUUUGGGAUAACUUCAGGAAACUGGGGCUAAUACCGGAUAGGAGCUCCUGCUGCAUGGUGGGGGUUGGAAAGUUUCGGCGGUUGGGGAUGGACUCGCGGCUUAUCAGCUUGUUGGUGGGGUAGUGGCUUACCAAGGCUUUGACGGGUAGCCGGCCUGAGGGUGACCGGCCACAUUGGGACUGAGAUACGGCCCAGACUCCUACGGGAGGCAGCAGUGGGGAAUAUUGCACAAUGGGCGGAAGCCUGAUCCAGCAACGCCGCGUGCGGGAUGACGGCCUUCGGGUUGUAAACCGCUUUCGCCUGUGACGAAGCGUGAGUGACGGUAAUGGGUAAAGAAGCACCGGCUAACUACGUG
rnacentral:rRNA from 1 species